GCGUGGAUGAUGAAGGCCCUAGGGUUGUAAAGUCCUUUCGGCGGGGAAGAUAAUGACGGUACCCGCAGAAGAAGCCCCGGCUAACUUCGUGCCAGCAGCCGCGGUAAUACGAAGGGGGCUAGCGUUGCUCGGAAUCACUGGGCGUAAAGCGCACGUAGGCGGACUCUUAAGUCGGUGGUGAAAUCCUGGAGCUCAACUCCAGAACUGCCUUCGAUACUGAGAGUCUCGAGUCCGGGAGAGGUGAGUGGAACUGCGAGUGUAGAGGUGAAAUUCGU
rnacentral:rRNA from 1 species